rnacentral:rRNA from 1 species
GAGUUUGAUCGUGGCUCAGAUUGAACGCUGGCGGCAUGCCUUACACAUGCAAGUCGAACGGCAGCAUGAUCUAGCUUGCUAGAUUGAUGGCGAGUGGCGAACGGGUGAGUAAUACAUCGGAACGUGCCCUGUAGUGGGGGAUAACUAGUCGAAAGAUUAGCUAAUACCGCAUACGACCUGAGGGUGAAAGUGGGGGACCACAAGGCCUCAUGCUAUAGGAGCGGCCGAUGUCUGAUUAGCUAGUUGGUGGGGUAAAGGCCCACCAAGGCGACGAUCAGUAGCUGGUCUGAGAGGACGAUCAGCCACACUGGGACUGAGACACGGCCCAGACUCCUACGGGAGGCAGCAGUGGGGAAUUUUGGACAAUGGGCGAAAGCCUGAUCCAGCAAUGCCGCGUGUGUGAAGAAGGCCUCGGUGUAA